rnacentral:rRNA from 1 species
CAUAGGUUAAUGAGGCGAACCGGGGGAACUGAAACAUCUAAGUACCCCGAGGAAAAGAAAUCAACCGAGAUUCCCCCAGUAGCGGCGAGCGAACGGGGAGCAGCCCAGAGCCUGAAUCAGUGUGUGUGUUAGUGGAAGCGUCUGGAAAGGCGCGCGAUACAGGGUGACAGCCCCGUACACAAAAAUGCACAUGCUGUGAGCUCGAUGAGUAGGGCGGGACACGUGGUAUCCUGUCUGAAUAUGGGGGGACCAUCCUCCAAGGCUAAAUACUCCUGACUGACCGAUAGUGAACCAGUACCGUGAGGGAAAGGCGAAAAGAACCCCGGCGAGGGGAGUGAAAAAGAACCUGAAACCGUGUACGUACAAGCAGUGGGAGCACAGAGCAAUCUGUGUGACUGCGUACCUUUUGUAUAAUGGGUCAGCGACUUAUAUUCUGUAGCAAGGUUAACCGAAUAGGGGAGCCGAAGGGAAACCGAGUCUUAACUGGGCGUUAAGUUGCAGGGUAUAGACCCGAAACCCGGUGAUCUAGCCAUGGGCAGGUUGAAGGUUGGGUAACACUAACUGGAGGACCGAACCGACUAAUGUUGAAAAAUUAGCGGAUGACUUGUGGCUGGGGGUGAAAGGCCAAUCAAACCGGGAGAUAGCUGGUUCUCCCCGAAAGCUAUUUAGGUAGCGCCUCGUGAAUUCAUCUCCGGGGGUAGAGCACUGUUUCGGCAAGGGGGUCAUCCCGACUUACCAACCCGAUGCAAACUGCGAAUACCGGAGAAUGUUAUCACGGGAGACACACGGCGGGUGCUAACGUCCGUCGUGAAGAGGGAAACAACCCAGACCGCCAGCUAAGGUCCCAAAGUCAUGGUUAAGUGGGAAACGAUGUGGGAAGGCCCAGACAGCCAGGAUGUUGGCUUAGAAGCAGCCAUCAUUUAAAGAAAGCGUAAUAGCUCACUGGUCGAGUCGGCCUGCGCGGAAGAUGUAACGGGGCUAAACCAUGCAC